GAAUAAAAAACGUUACUUAAUCCACCUUUUGGUGGUUGGUGCCUUCCUCGCAAUCAUAAAGUGAAUACACUACACAGCCUCAAAAAAGUGUAUAAAUAACACUUAUUUCUAUCAAAAUAUCUGAGAUCCGGCAUCAAAAAAGUGUAUUAAAACACUAAAGUACUUAUAACUUUUGAUAGGGUUGUUGGAUCUUCAAUCUUUUGGGCUCGUGGGAAAGGUCUUUUGAUUACCUAACCAACGAUAGGUCGCAUGACAGAUUCGAACAACAUUUUCAUCAAAAUAUUUGAGAUCCGGCCUCACAAAGUUCAUAAGUGAAACUUAAGUGCUUAUAACUUUUGAUGGGGUUGUCAGAUCUUCAAUCUUUUGAGCACGUUGGAAAGGUCUUUCAAAUACCUUGUCACCUGCUAAGUAUAACUUGCGACAGUGUUUGUACCACCGUUACCCUGAUCUGAUCUCAAGGCAAUUUAAAUGGGGUUAUUCCAAUUAUAUUUAUAAACCACUACACUCACAUCAGCACAACAGAACCCAUCAUCGUAAAGGUCAACUAUUGCCAAUUGGUAGUUGAUCGUGUGUUGCAUACGCAAGUCCGAACACACAUGAAAGGCUCAUCGGAGACAACUUCACUUAUCUCUUAUCACGCAUCUUGUGUUCUCACGAGAUUGGGCUCUCGAAAGGGUAAAACGACCACAGGCCGAUCAAUGAAAGUCUACUACUCCAAACUGUUUCUACGGCGGUAAAUUGCUGAUAAUCAUGUUACGACUAAAUCAUCGUCAAUAUGAACCAGUGACAAUAGCUCAAUUGGACCAAGAACGUGGGACAUCGAAGCAAAUCAUUGAACCGGUACAACUCUACUGUUUUCCUGCACUAGUAACCCUAUCACCCAACCACUCACUCUCGCUGAUAACAGUUCGCGUUCGUGCUGUGGUGAAUUACGUGCCUGAGGAACAAACUCGAUAAAAUCAAACACAAACGCAAGAUCGUUACCAGUUGCGUGUUAACCAUAAAGGAGAUCGCCACGUUCGAAAAACUAUUUGUGUGAAGUGCCACUUUCUGAUCUCACUCGUGACUGCUGAUCUAGGGUCAGUUAACCGAAGCGGCCAAGCCAUCGUGCCGCUGGAUUGAGCAAGAAAGGAGGGAUUGCCGGCUAGGCAAGUGUGAUCGUUGAGCGAAGCUGAGGACGCGAGGAAGGGGACACUACCUGGAUCUGGAUUCUUCGAGGGACGUAAUGGCGCUGGAGUAGUUCCGCCAUGAGGAUUAAGAGAUCGGCCUAUAUUCUAUUUUCACAUUUUUGUGAAAUGGCGGGUGUGCGGCGUGCCAAGUGCGCUGCCUGGUCGUCCCGCACGAUGUCUAGCUGGUAUGCUGUACGGACCAGACCUGGUCGAGGCCGGGAAUGAACCAUCCGGAUGGUCAACCAAGCAUUGCGCCGAGGGAUACACACCUACACUGACAUACACUACAACACCUAGGAUUAGUACCGCCAAAUAGUGAGUAAGUUCGCCAUUUAGUUUUAAGUACGUCUGGGGGAAAAAGUUUAAUAAAAGCCAUGAAGGCCAUUUUGGCCAAUUUCUUGUAAAAUAGCGGCAUUUCUUUUGUUUUGGGUGAUGGAUGGACUAAUGGUUGUCUAGUCAUUUUUGCGCUAGACCACGAACCUGUUUCCGGCUAUAUUAAACAGAUCCAAUAUUUCCACAAACGUCCAAAGGAGUGAUUAAUCUUAAUUGUCUCAUGCGGCUAAAAAUUAGCUUAUGACAACCUUUCUAACAAUAUAUGACAUGAUGGGUUUUCUUACAAAAACCACCCUUUUUACAAUAUUACGAAGUUUAGCUGAAAUCGUUUUUUUAGCAUAACUUUUGAAGUACUUUUUUAAACAUCAUAAUAUUAACUAGGGUCUUGUGGGAACCCAAGACGGAUCGAAUGAGACCAAAACGGUCCAAAUCGGUUCAGCCAGUCCGGAGAUAAUCGUGUGCAUAUUUUUCGGUGCACGGACUCACAUCCAGACACACGCACAUACAUUUGUUCAGAAUUUGAUUCUGAGUCGAUAGGUAUACGUGAAGGUGGGUCUACGAAGUCGAAUAAAGAAGUUCAUUUUUCGAGUGAUUUUAUAGCCUUUCCUCAUUGAGGUGAGGAAGGCAAAAAAAAAAGU